GACGAACGCUGGCGGCGUGCUUAACACAUGCAAGUCGAACGGAAAGGCCCUGCUUUUGUGGGGUGCUCGAGUGGCGAACAGGUGAGUAACACGUGAGUAACCUGCCCUUGACUUUGGGAUAACUUCAGGAAACUGGGGCUAAUACCGGAUAGGAGCUCCUGCUGCAUGGUGGGGGUUGGAAAGUUUCGGCGGUUGGGGAUGGACUCGCGGCUUAUCAGCUUGUUGGUGGGGUAGUGGCUUACCAAGGCUUUGACGGGUAGCCGGCCUGAGAGGGUGACCGGCCACAUUGGGACUGAGAUACGGCCCAGACUCCUACGGGAGGCAGCAGUGGGGAAUACUGCACAAUGGGCGGAAGCCUGAUGCAGCAACGCCGCGUGCGGGAUGACGGCCUUCGGGUUGUAAACCGCUUUCGCCUGUGACGAAGCGUGAGUGACGGUAAUGGGUAAAGAAGCACCGGCUAACUACGUG
rnacentral:rRNA from 1 species